rnacentral:rRNA from 1 species
UACGUAGGUGGCAAGCGUUGUCCGGAUUUACUGGGCGUAAAGAGCGCGCAGGCGGUCGGAUAAGUCGAAUGUGAAAGCCCCCGGCUCAACUGGGGAGGGUCAUUCGAUACUGUUCGACUCGAAGGCAGGAGAGGGAAGUGGAAUUCCCGGUGUAGUGGUGAAAUGCGAUAGAUAUCGGGAGGAACACCAGUGGCGAAGGCGGUUCUCUGGGCCUUACCUGACGCUGAGGAGCGAAAGCAUGGGGAGCAAACAGGG